rnacentral:misc_RNA from 1 species
GAUGAAGAACGUAGCAAAAUGCGAUAAGUAAUGUGAAUUGCAGAAUUCAGUGAAUCAUCGAAUCUUUGAGCGCACAUUGCGCCCGCUGGUAUUCCGGCGGGCAUGCCUGUUCGAGCGUCAUUUCAACCCUCAAGCCCCCGGGUUUGGUGUUGGGGAUCGGCUCUGCCCUUCUGGGCGGUGCCGCCCCCGAAAUACAUUGGCGGUCUCGCUGCAGCCUCCAUUGCGUAGUAGCUAACACCUCGCAACUGGAACGCGGCGCGGCCAUGCCGUAAAACCCCAACUUCUGAAUGUUGACCUCGGAUCAGGUAGGAAUACCCGCUGAACUUAAGCAUAUCAAUAAGCGGAGGA